rnacentral:misc_RNA from 1 species
AACAAGGCGUACCUGCGGACCUGCGGAAGGAUCAUUAUCCAUCCAAAACCAGCUGCGGUCGCGGCCCCACGCUUACCCGUGGCGGUACGCGCCGCACGUCUGCACCCUUUUUUUACGAGUACCUUCGUUCUCCCUCGGCAGGGCAACCUGCCGUUGGAACCAUACAAAACCUUUUUUUGCAUCUAGCAUUACCUGUUCUGAUACAAACAAUCGUUACAACUUUCAACAACGGAUCUCAGA